GUCUCACUCACAGCAUAUGGAAUUCUCGAGCCAGGGGUUGAAUUUCAGCUGCAGCUAUGACCUACACCACAGCUGCAGCAACACCAGAUACUUUAACCCACUGUGCUGGGCUAGGGAUUGAACCUGUGCUUCUGCAGUGACCACAGCCAUUGAAGUAGGAUUAUUAACCUACUGUGCCAUACAUAGAGGGAACUUCUGAACUUGCUUUUUCACAUCUCCAUUUUCACUUCUACUGUGGGCCUUUUAAGGAUAUUUCAAUCCAUUUUGAAUUUAAUAUUUCACUCAGAUGUGUUUAAAUAAUAUUUACCGUAAGAAAAUUCGUCUUACUUCCUAGAUAGUUAAUUACUCAAUGUUUGACAUGGGCAAUACACACAAACCCACCUUCCAGACUUUGACCAACCUGAGCAGCUACAUCUCUCUCAAUGGCCCUUCCCAUAGAAGUAUCAGGGAAGGGUAUUUACGAAGAUAAAAGAGUCACCAUUUCUGCUCUGAAAAAGCUGAAAGUUUUAAUUCAGAGAGAAUUUCUGAAUGCAUCACAAGGCCAAUAAUUUCACAGUUCCAAUAAUGGCAUUCAUCUUGUGUUCCUCAUAACAAGAGGCUUUCUGUCUACAGCUUGGUUGGCUUUCUGGAUAUUUCAUUUCAUGUAUUGGUCUUGCAAUAUUAAAAAAAAAAAAUAAGUCCUUUGGGGAACAAAUAAUUUCAUGGUACUCACCCCAUGAUGUUCUUACCCUAAUUAGUGGUCUAUGUGAAUACAGAAAGUAUUCUUUGUCAGGAGACUGACAAGCCUUGCAGGUGGACAUACUCUACAAGAUCAUGAAUAAAUAUCUCAAGGUCCAUGCUGGACAAUGGCCUCCACCAUUUUAUUUGGUGAACAAUAUCAAUUCAUAAUUGUUUUUUAAUCCUUGAAUUCUUGGUUGAAAGGUAUAUAUUGCACGCAAUUUAAGUGAAUGAUUAGGUGAGUUCUGACAAAGGUAGACAGCUGUAUAAUGAUAACCACAAUCAAAAUUAUGUGAAACAUUCCUUUUGCCCCAGCAAAUUCUCUUAUAUUAUGGGGAACUAUAGGAAGGAAAAUUAUAUUUAAUUGAGGCCUCAGACCUGCCAAGAAGCUUUACUUCUAUUAUCUCAUAUCCUAUGAAUAAAUGCUAUUAAUUUUAACAUACUGAUGAAAAAUAAAAAUAGCACUGUGAUAGUGGAACUGGCUUUCUCCAAUAGGUUUGGCUCCCCCCCAAAGCUUAUCCUUUUUAACUGGACCAACUUAUUUCUCUUGGGAAAUUACAUAAGAGGCAAGCUAGCUCCAGUUCAUACCAAAAUUAGUAUUUACUCCUUUUCUCUAGUACUAAGGUUUUCCUAUAAGAAGGUCAAGGUAAUAAUUGUAUUUACAUAUUAUUAUUUUCUAUUUCAAAAUAUCUUUAUGGCAAGAUCUAAAGAAAAAUGGGUAGUGAAGAUUUAGGUGUGCAAAUCUUUGUAGGGCUUGUAUAUUCUUAUCUAUCUCCCUUUUAUCAGUAACAUUUGCAGCUGCCUUUGUUUUUCACUUGUGAUGAUUUCUGCUUUAAAUUUACUUCAACUUACCCAUGUGUUGUGAAUGAACCCUGUAGUCUUCCUGAUGAAUAUGUCUUUUGGCUUUGUGUAUGUGACAUAGAUGAAUUUGUCCUUUGUGUCAUCCUUGUCCCUUAAACUUCUUCUAUGAUGGCAGUCACCUUGCUCUGGUAACAUUGUUUUCAAAUUUAUUAUAGUCAAUAUAGUAAACAUUUUGAACAGAAAUUAUACAGAUGACUCUUGAACAAUGCAGGGGUCAGGGAUGCAGCUCUUCCCUUAGUUAAAAAUUUGAGUAUAAUUUAUAGUUAGCCUUCUGUAUUCACAGUUUCACCUCAUCUGCAGUUCUUCCCUAUCCAUGGUUCCGCAUUUGCAGACUCAACGGUCAAGAGUACUGAGGUACCACAGUAUUCAUUAUUGAGAAAAUCCACACAUAAGUGGACUCAUGACUUUCAAAGUCCUGGUGUUCAAGUGUCAACUAUAUAUCCUAUCUCUUCAGGUCCUGCACACAGGAAGGAAACUGCGACUUAACAAAACCAUUAAACGGAUGACUGAGUGAUGGAACAAAUGUAGCAGAGUGGAAAGGCGGCAGAAUGAGUCGUUGAGAACAUAGACAAGGAGUUUCUGUUGUGGUUCAGCAUGUAAAAAACCUAACAUAGUGUCUGUGAGGAUGUGGGUUUGAUCCCUGGCAUUGCUCAGUGGGUUAAGGAUCCAGGAUUGCUCAAGCUGAAGCAUAGGUCACAGUUAUGGCUUAGAUCCUACAUUGCUGUGGCUGUGGCCGUGGCAUAGGCCAGCAGCUGCAGCUUUGAUUCAACUCCUAGCCACAGAACUUCCAAUAUGCCAUGGGUGUGACCAUAACCAAAAAAAAAAAAAAAAGAACAUAUACAAGUAACUAAACACUUUGAAUCUGGCUUUCUUUUACAGAGUUUUGAGAAAAUUAAAUGAAAGUUUGCAGGCAAAGUGCUUAUGAACCUCCUUGGUAUAUAAUAAACAUUUAAUAUGUAUUAUUAAUAUGAUGAAAUUGAGAGCCCAGAGUCAGAACUAAUUUUUCAGCCUUGCCAACUCUUCCAACACAGGUUAUCCUCUGGAGCUCUCAGUUCUCUAAGCUCUCUCUCAGCUGAGUUCCACUUAUUUUCUCCUUAAUGAGGUUACUUCCUUGUAAAGAAUUUUAGAUAUUACUUAUUAUAUUAAUUUCACAGAAAAUUAUGUAGUAAAGUAUAGAAAAAAGGCAGGUAAAAAUAGAGAACAGGUAAAAAUAGAGAAUAAUAACUUACGUACUUUGAAGGCUAUGCAUUCUACCAAAGGUCAUGGAAUAUAGCCGAGGUGUUAUUAUUCCCAGAAAUUUGGAUCUGGCAAGCACCCUACUAUGGCUUUUAGUUUGAUCAGUUUGUGAAAUAUUUUCAUUAAAUGAAACUUUUAGAAUAUUUAACAUGGAUCCCCAGGCAGAGUUUAAAGGCUUGGCCUUGGGCUUUUUCAGUGAAAAAUGCAAGUAAAACCCUGGGACUCUCUACUAAAGAAACAUUUUAAAUAUGUAAUUUUGACUUGAGUUCUAAAAUUCUAAGUCAGGGAAUGAUUCUUUAAAAUGUUUCUAAAUUACUAUAAGGGGUAGUUAAUCUCUGGCCUGGAGGAAUGUAGAAAUCUCUAUUCAGAUAAGUCUUCAAAUAACAGUUGUAAUGUAGUAUCUAACAGGUGCUAAGUAUUUAAUGCUCAUUUUCUCUGAUAGAAUCAAAACCCCAACAUUGAAAGUGUUCUUGCCCCCAUUUGGCAUAUGAGGAAACCAAGACUCGGAGAAGUUAACACAGUUUGACUGGGGUCCCAUUGAUUUUAAUUCCUAGGCCAGGGAACUAAUUUAUUUACUUGUUUAUUUUCUGACUCUAAAACUCAUUCAGUUUCCCCAAGGUCAGUAGUAUCUCAUCCUGGUAUUAAGGUAUCAGAAGCAAUAUAAUUUUUUCCAGAAAUAGCCAUGCUAUUUUCUCUCUCUCUUUCUUCCUUUCUUUCUUUAUUUUGGCUUUUGAAGGUCUCACCUGAGGUAUAUUGGCAGUUCCCAGGUUAGGGGUUGAAUUGGACCUGUACCUGCCGGCCUAUGCCACAGCCACAGCAACGCAGGAUCCGAGGCGUGUCUGAGACUUACACUAGAGCUCUUGGCAAUGCUGGAUCCUUAACCCACUAAGCAGGACCAGCGAUACAACCAGAGUCCUCAUGGAUCCUAGUCGGAUUUGUUAACCGCUGAGCCACGAAGGGAACUCCACUAUUUUCAAAAGAGUACUAUUUUGAAGCUCAUGUUCAUUUUCAUUGAAUUACAAGCCACUCUUUAAUUAAAAAACAAUAUAUUUCAAAGUUUAAGAAAAUUAAAUGUUUUCAAUUUUUUUUCUCAUGCUAUGGAGAAAAUGUGAAAAUGGAAAAGUGGUAUAUAAUUCUUUCUCAUUGUUUGAAUUCAUAUGCGGCUUUUUUUUUUCUCCCAGCUUUAUGAAGGUGUAAUCGACAAAUAAAAUUGUAAGGCAUUUAAAGUAUACAAUAUGAUGAUUUGAUAUAUGUAUUUGUUAUGAAAGGAUUCCCACCAUCAUGCUCAGAUAUUUAUCUUUUUUGGUAAGAACAUUUAAAUUUUGCUCUCUUGGGAAAUUUCAAUUAUAUAAUACAGUAUUAUGAGCUAUAGUGGUCACCAUAUUUUACAUAUGGCCUUUUUUAAGUUAAAUGGAUGAGAUAACUCUAGUGCCCUUUCAGAAGCGAACAAGUCAAGUAUGCCCAUUGCUUAAUG
rnacentral:lncRNA from 1 species